CGCGUAGGCGGCCUAAUAAGUUAGAAGUGAAACCUAUCGGCUCAACUGAUAGCCUGCUUCUAAAACUGCUAAGCUUGAGUGCAGAAGAGGGGAGUGGAAUUCCCAGUGUAGCGGUGAAAUGCGUAGAUAUUGGGAGGAACACCAGUGGCGAAAGCGGCUCCCUGGUCUGUAACUGACGCUGAGGCGCGAAAGCGUGGGUAGCAAACA
rnacentral:rRNA from 1 species